rnacentral:rRNA from 1 species
UACGUAGGGGGCAAGCGUUGUCCGGAAUCAUUGGGCGUAAAGCGCGUGUAGGCGGCUAGAUAAGUCUGCUCUGAAAGCCCGGGGCUCAACCCCGGGAGGCGGGUGGAUACUGUCUAGCUCGAGUCCGGAAGAGGAGUGUGGAAUUCCUGGUGUAGCGGUGAAAUGCGCAGAUAUCAGGAGGAACACCAAUGGCGAAGGCAGCACUCUGGGACGUGACUGACGCUGAGACGCGAAAAGCGUGGGGAGCAAACAGG